UGGGGAAUAUUGCACAAUGGGCGAAAGCCUGAUGCAGCGACGCCGCGUGAGGGAUGACGGCCUUCGGGUUGUAAACCUCUUUCAGUAGGGACGAAGCGCAAGUGACGGUACCUGCAGAAGAAGCACCGGCUAACUACGUGCCAGCAGCCGCGGUAAUACGUAGGGUGCGAGCGUUGUCCGGAAUUACUUGGCGUAAAGAGCUCGUAGGCGGUUUGUCACGUCGUCUGUGAAAUCCUAGGGCUUAACCCUGGACGUGCAGGCGAUACGGGCUGACUUGAGUACUACAGGGGAGACUGGAAUUUCUGGUGUAGCGGUGGAAUGCACGGAUAUCAGGAAGAACACCGAUGGCGAAGGCAGGUCUCUGGGUAGUAACUGACGCUGAGGAGCGAAAGCAUGGGUAGCGAACAGG
rnacentral:rRNA from 1 species